rnacentral:rRNA from 1 species
GCGGAGGAAAAGAAACUAACAAGGAUUCCCCUAGUAGCGGCGAGCGAAGCGGGAAGAGCUCAAAUUUAUAAUCUGGCACCUUCGGUGUCCGAGUUGUAAUCUCUAGAAAUGUUUUCCGCGUUGGACCGCACACAAGUCUGUUGGAAUACAGCGGCAUAGUGGUGAGACCCCCGUAUAUGGUGCGGACGCCCAGCGCUUUGUGAUACAUUUUCGAAGAGUCGAGUUGUUUGGGAAUGCAGCUCAAAUUGGGUGGUAAAUUCCAUCUAAAGCUAAAUAUUGGCGAGAGACCGAUAGCGAACAAGUACCGUGAGGGAAAGAUGAAAAGCACUUUGGAAAGAGAGUUAACAGUACGUGAAAUUGUUGGAAGGGAAACGCUUGAAGUCAGACUUGCUUGCCGAGCAAUCGGUUUGCAGGCCAGCAUCAGUUUUCCGGGAUGGAUAAUGGUAGAGAGAAGGUAGCAGUUUCGGCUGUGUUAUAGCUCUCUGCUGGAUACAUCUUGGGGGACUGAGGAACGCAGUGUGCCUUUGGCGGGGGUUUCGACCUCUUCACACUUAGGAUGCUGGUGGAAUGGCUUUAAACGACCCG